AUACCAUACUCUAAAGAUGCCGCGUUUCUUGGGGGGGGGGAGCUAAGUUGGAUCUGAGUUUAAAGAAGGGAAUAAACUACCCUUUAAAUGUGAGUGAAGGGUGGGGAUUCGAUGUCACAGAAAUCGGCUGAAAGCCACAAAACCAACAUCCUUCGCCAGGCUGCAUCGCCGGCGCGGAAUCCAUCUGCGCAUGCGUCUUCGGGCUGCUUUCGGCGUGGACUACAACUUCCUCCGUGUCGCCGUGAUGACGCAAACAACCGGGAAGGGUAAAGGUUAACACGGUGACGAUUGGGUGAAAGGGCUGCAGUGUUUGUAUUAAAAUAUGGGACAGGAAGUGUCCUGCUCAUGUGAUGUAUCUGAAAAGCAAUUGGAUGGCAUGAGGUGAAGAAACUGGUAAGAAUGGCGAAUGUAGGCAGAGCGCCAUUGGUAUCAGAAGAGCCAAACUUCGGUGCCCAAGCCAGAAAAGUGGACUGGACUAUCAUCAUCCUCACAUGCCAGUACAAAGACAGUCUACAUGCCUUCCAGCGAGAGCUUGAAAUCCGCCAGCGCAAAGGGUCCAUUGCCCCUGGUGUGCUCCUGCUUACUGUUGGAGACCCAGGGACUCAGGUUGGCAGUGGAGGUGCAACCCUCAAUGCAUUGUUGGUAGCUGCCGAAUACCUCAGUGCCAGGGCAGGAUAUACGGUUGUGACCUCUGAUGUACUGCAGACAGCACGACUACUAAUCCUCCACAUGGGUCGAGACUUUCCUUUUGAUGACUGCGGCCGUUCAUUUACCUGCUUCCCAAUGGAAAACCCCACUGGCAACGCAGAGGCCCUAGUCUGUAACAUCGACGUUCUGCUGCAUGUUAUGACACACAAGCUGGGACCAGGCAGUCCGCCGGGUGUAUGGGUCUGCAGCACAGAUAUGAUCCUGACUGUGCCCACCUACCCAGAUAUUUGUUGGGACGGGUUCAGUGGUGUUAGAGUGAUAUCUGUACCUGGGACUGUCAGUUAUGCCAGGAAUCAUGGUGUCUACCUCAUUGACCAGGAGGGUUACGUCUGUGACAUCAUCUACAAAGGGACAGAAGAGAAGUUAAAGGAAUCUGCACUCCUAGACGGGAGAGUUCCUCUGGUAUCAGGUAUUGUGUUCUUCUCAUCGAAGACCGCAGAGAAGCUCCUGGCUAUGCAUGUCAUUCCUCCGCUGGACGGUUGCACCUACAUGGGUCUGGACUCAGGGGCUCCUCCUGUUCAGCUGUCCAUCUUCUUCGACAUCCUGCUCUGCAUGGCACGCCGAGUUGGCAGGGAUGUCUUUGUGGACGGAGCGAGAAGAACCCUGCAGAGCAGUGAGAUCACUCCCCCCAGCACGGAUGGGGCGACCAUGAGCAGUGCCCGGGCUGUGCUUUGGCAGGAGCUCAGAGGGGUUCCCGUCACUGCAGUCCUUGUGACCGAUGGUGGUUAUGACUACAUGAGCCUGUCGCCUGAUGAUCAUAUACAAAACCUGACUCAGAGAGGGAGCAUGUCUGACUGCUUCGUGAAGCGUAACAUCGUGUUCUCUAAGCUGAUGCACCCUGCUCUGCUGGACCAGGAAUGUUCUAUCAUCAACAGCCUCCUAGAAGGAGAGAUCCGAGUGGAAGCAAAUAGUGUUGUCCAACACUGCCACCUGCAGGGGACCAUUCAUUUAGGGUCCGAUUGUCUUCUGUCAGGGGUGGAUCUUCUGUCAUCACCUGUGCUGCAACGAUACCUGCUCCGUGAUGUCAUCCUCCAGGGUCACCACAUUACACUGAGGGGCCUGAAAAUGAAGACAUUCACCAUUGUGGGACGUCUGGAUGACCUGCAGGUGCCUUUCAGCAGUAGCUCCUCAACCUUCCUGAAUGUUCCGUGGUCCACCUUCUUUGAAAGGACUGGAAUCAAGAAGGAAGAGGUGUGGGCUCCCAGCCAAACAGAAAACAACCUCCUCAGUGCUCAGCUCUUCCCAGUCUUGCACGCGACCGAGCCUAUUGGGAUGGAGGACGUGUUGUGUCUGCUCGGACGGCCGAGCGGGCCGAAUCUGAGGAGGUGGCAGUCUGCCUGGCGCCUGUCAAUGAGGGAGAUCCUGAACUGCCUGGACCAGGAAGCUGAGCUCGGCUGGAGGCAGCAGCUCUUCCUCGCCCGAACCCAGAGCCAUGUCCAGAGCAUCCUCUGCACUCGCAGAGACAGCAGCCUCUGCCCCCUCAUUCAGGCAGCCAUCUGUGAGGGGCAUGAGGCAGAAAUACUAUGUACGCUUGAUACAGUGGCUGCCACCACCAGCGACCCAGGAGUUGCGGCUCGCACUCUUGCCUGUGUGGCAGAUGUUUUGGGCUGCAUGGCCGGAGGACGAGGUGGUCUCCGCAGUGGACCCGCCGCCAACCGGGCCUGGUGUGAAGCCUUCCGGCUGCUGGAGAGCAGGGAGCUGGCGCUGGGAGUGCAGAAGCUGGCAGAGGAGCGCAGCAAAUGGCUGAGCAGACCUGACCUGCUUGUGAGAGCUGCCCGUCACUACGAGGGGGCGGAGCAAAUCCUGAUCCGACAGGCUGUCAUGACGGCCCGUCAGUUCAUCUCGAUGAGGGAGGCCGAGCUUCCUCCCAUGAAUCACUGGCUGGUUGCCGAAUGCCCAGCUCGUAUUGAUUUCUCAGGUGGCUGGAGUGACACACCACCCAUCACGUAUGAGCAUGGGGGAGUGGUGCUGGAUGUUGCUGUCCUAGUGGAUGGGCAGAAGCCAAUUGGAGCAAAGGUACGCCGCACCCCCGAGCCAAAGCUGCGGCUGGUCAUGAGCCGAGGGGACAGGGAGCAGGGGAUGCCCUUGGAGAUAAUAUGCCAGAGCCUGGAUGACCUGAGGGACUACUGCCAACCCCAUGCACCAGGAGCUUUGUUGAAGGCAGCCUUUAUCUGCACAGAAAUCAUCCAGUACCCCUCCCAGGUAUCUCUACGGGAGCAGCUGAUGACAAGGUUUGGCGGAGGCUUUGAGCUUCAUACUUGGUCCAGUCUGCCACACGGAUCUGGCAUGGGUACAAGUAGCAUCCUGGCAGGUGCGGUCGUCUCAGCCCUGAUCUCGGCAGCUGGGAAGUCCUGUGAUACUGCCUCCCUGAUCCACAUCGUUCUUCACCUGGAGCAGGUCCUGACCACAGGUGGAGGUUGGCAGGAUCAGGUCGGAGGACUGGUUCCUGGGAUCAAGCUCGGUUGCUCAAAGCCCCAGCUGCCCCUCCAAGUGGACGUUGAACGAAUCCCAGUGACCGGCGAGUUCGUGCAGACCCUGAAUGACCACCUUCUGCUGGUGUACACGGGGAAGACGCGGCUGGCCCGCAAUAUCCUGCAGGACGUGCUGAGGAAUUGGUAUGCCAGGCUGCCCAGCAUCGUGCAGAACACAGACGCACUGGUUAGGAAUGCAGAGGAUUGUGCGCAAGCUUUUAUCAAAGGUGACCUCUCCUGGAUCGGACAGUGCUUGAAUACCUACUGGCAGCAGAAGAUGUGCAUGGCUCCUGGGUGUGAGCCACUGGCAGUCCGGGAGAUGAUGACAAUCCUGCAGCCCCAUGUACACGGACAGAGCUUGGCUGGAGCAGGAGGUGGAGGUUUCCUUUAUCUCUUGACCAGAAAACCUCGGCAGAAAGAAGCAAUCAAGAGGAUACUGACAGCAAGUGAGGGCUUGGGGAACUUCAGCAUCCACGAGGUGCAAGUUGAUGAGACAGGACUCACCGUGCACAUGACUGGACCAGAUUGACUCUCAUAUCCCACACCAGUUACCCGAGAUACCUGUUUCUACUUGACCAACCAAAACUUCCCUUCAUGAAUUAAGGAAAACAACUUGAUUACAUCACAGUUCAAGGCAUCUGUUAUUAUUAGUUUUGUUCAGAUGGGAUGAAGCAAAUGAAGUUUGAGCAGCUUGCAUCUUGAUUCAUAGUUCAGGCACAAAAUGCUGGUGGAACACAACAGGCCAGGCAGCAUCUAUAAGGAGAAGCACUGUCGACGUUUUGGGCCGAGACCCUUCAUCAGGACUAACUGAAAGGAAAGAUAGAGAGAGAUUAGAAAGUAUUGGGGGGAGGGGGAAAUGCGAAAUGAUAGGAGAAGACCGGAGGGGGUGGGAUGAAGCUAAGAGCUGGAAAGGUGAUUGGCGAAAGCGAUACAGAGUUGGAGAAGGGAAAGAAUCAUGGGACGGGAGGCCUCAGGAGAAAGAAGGGAGGGGUGGAGCACCAGAGGGAGAUGGAAAACAGGCAAACAACUAAAUAUGUCAGGGAUGAGGUAAGAAUGGGAAGAGGGGCAUUAACGGAAGUUAGAGAAGUCAAUGUUCAUGCCAUCAGGUUGGAGGCUGCCCAGCCGGUAUGCAAGAUGUUGUUCCUCCAACCUGAGUUUGGAUUCAUUUUGACAAUAGAGGCGGCCUUGGACAGACAUAUCAGAAUGGGAAUGGGACGUGGAAUUAAAAUGUGUGGCCACUGGGAGAUCCUGCUUUUUCUGGUGGCCUGAGCGUGGGUGUUCAGCGAAACGGUCUCCCAGUCUGCGUCAGAUCUCACCAAUAUAUAAAAGGCCACACCGGGAGCACCGGAUGCAGUCCACUCGUCGUGCCCCCAUCCCUUCCCACCAAUCUCCCUCCUGGCACUUAUCCUUGUAAAGGGAACAAGUGCUACACCUGCCCUUACACUUCCUCCCUCACCACCAUUCAGGGCCCCAGACAGUCCUUCCAGGUGAGGUGACACUUCACCUGUGAGUUGGCUGGUGUGGUAUACUGCAUCCAGUGCUCCCGGUGUGGCCUUUUAUAUAUUGGUGAGACCGGGUGAUAGUCAUUAAGGCAGCCUACAUUCUUCUCCUUCUUAGGCACAGGGAGAAUUAUUGCCUUUCUGAAGCAAGUGGGAACUUCCACCCGAGCCGUGAGAGGUUGAAAAUGUCCUUGAAUACUCCUGCUAAUUGUUAGUACAGGAUUUAAGAGCCUUACCAGGUACUCCAUCGGGACUUCCCACUUUGCAAGGGUUCACUCUCUUUAAAGGCAAUCUAACAUUGGCCUCUGAGACAGACAUCACAGGGUCAUCAGGUGCAGCAGGGAUCUUUACAGCUGUAGUUGUGUUCUCUCUUUCAAAGUGUGCAUAGAAGUCAUUGAGUUCAUCUGGUAGUGAAGCAUCACUGCCAUUCAUGCUAUUGGGUUUCACUUUGCAGAAAGUAAUGUCUUGCAAACCCUGCCAGAGUUGCCGUGCAUCCGAUGUCACCUCCAACCUCAUUAAAAGUUGUCUCUUCACUCUUGAAAUAGCCCUUCGCAAAUUAUAUUUGGUUUUCUAGUACAGGCCAGGAUCGCCAGACUUGGAAUGCCUUCAGCAGAUGAUGUACCUCCUGGUUCAUCUACUGCUUUUAGCUCAAGAAUGUACAGUAAGUCUUUGUGGGCAUACUCUCAUCCACACAGGUUUUAAUGAAGUUGGUAACAACUACAGCAUACUCAUCCAGGUUCGAAUAUAAAUCCCUGAAUAUUGACUCUAGUAAAAAUACACCUGUACCUGGAAGGUCCAAGCAAAACUACAACAUGGAGACAAAAGAACACUCCAAGCAACUCCACGAAAAGGUUGUUGAAAGCACAAGUCAGGAGGUGGAGAUGAUUGUUAAGUCAAUCAUCAAGGAAUGGAAAAAUACAGUACAGCUGUAAUUCUGCCAAGAGCAGGCUACCUCAGUAACUGAGUGACCUUGCAAGGAGACUAGUGAAGAAGGGCACCAAGAGACCUAUGACAACUCUGGAGGAAUUACAAGCUUCAGUGGUUGAGAUGGGAGAGUGGCAAAGACAGCCACUGUUGGAAAAAAAACUCAAGAAAUCUUGGCAGAUGUUUGCCAAAAAGCAUGAGGGAGACACUGAAGUCAGUUGGAAGAAGGUUCUAUGGUCUGAUGAAACCAAAAUUGAGCUUUUUGGCCGUCAAACUAAACGCUAUGUUGGCAUAAGCCUGUUAUGAAGGUACCACAGCUCUGAGGGGCCGAAGGAGCGGGAGCAGCCCCCUAUUAAUUCGGAUCUCGGAAGUGAGAGACAAUGCAACGGUUCUGGCCAUUGUUCUUAGAAGCACCUGUGUGACAUGCAUGUCCCUGCUACGUGACAGCUACCAUGGACAUGGACACCCUCAGGCAAUGUGGGGGUGGAGAUUGCAUCACCCUACUUUGAUGGACAUCUACAACUCUGCAAGUAAAGAUAAAAGCGGACUGCAGGAGGCAGUACCCCAGCGAUGCACCAGCAGAACUCGCUCACUCAACGCUCCCGUGAGAGCUGGAAGCCACUCAACGCCACGUGCGCUCCUAACUCCUUUGACCUAGGGAGCAGGUGGCUGAUAAUACCAAGAAGGACUUCGAACUAACAACGGGGAAAACAACGCUCCCCUGAUUUAACGGAGUGGCUUCUUAAAGACCCGGGCAAGUUUUCUUUUCGUUUUCACCGAUCCCUUUAAAACACGUGAAACCCAACGAUUCCUCGAAAGGCUAAAGUCUGCAGACUUCUGAACGACUUUUUAUAUUUCCAAUGGACAAAAAUAUUAUCCCCUAGACAAUAGCCGAGAUUACUUCUUAAUGAUGAUUAUUACUAUACCCACGCUUUAGAUUGAGUAUUGGUGACGUGCAUUAUCUGAAUGUUUGUAUUAACCUUACUUUUGUGCCCCUUUAUAAAUAAAAACGUUUGAAAAUAGUGACAUCAGACUUCAACGGACCUCUCUAUCUUUGCUGGUAAGUUAUCCAGUUACGGGAUACGUAACAAGCCAAACACUGCACAUCAUCAUAAACACACCAUCCCUAAUGUGAUGCAUGUUGGUGGCUGCAUCAUCUCUGGGGAUGCUUCAGUGCAGCAGGCCCUGGAAGGCUUGUGAAAGUAGAGGGUAAAAUGAAUGCAGCAAAAUACAGGGAAAUCCUGGAGGAAAACCUAAUGUUGUUUGCAAGAGAAUUGCGACUUGAGCGAAGAGUUGCUUUCCAGCAAGACAAUGACCCCAAGUAUAAAGCUAAAGCUACACAGGAAUGGCUUAAAAACAGCAAAGUUAAUGUCCUGCAGGAGCCAAGCAAGAGUCUAGACCUUAAUGCAAUUGAGAAUUUGUGGCAAGACUUGAUAUGGGUUGUUCGCUCACAAUCCCCAUACAAUCGAACAGAGCUUGAGCAAUUUUGUAAAGAAGAAUGGGGAAAAAUUGCAGUGUCCAGAUGUGCAAAGCUGAUAGAGGCCUAUCUACACACAGUCAAGGCUGUAACUACUGCCAAAGUUGUAUCUACUAAAUAUUGACUUGAAGGGGGUGAAUACUUAAUGCAAUCAAUUUUGUGUUUUAUAUUUGUAAAAUAUUUAGGAUCACUUUGUAGAAAUCUGUUUUCACUUUGACACAAGACUUUUUCUGUUGAUCAGCAUCAAAAAACCAAAUUAAAUCCACUGUUAGGGCCCACAUGUCUAAAGACAAGCUUGUUCAUUUUAACUCCCAUAUAAAUCCUAUCUGUGAUAGAUGUCUUUCAGAAGAAGCCUCUUUGACUCAUAUGUUCUGGUUUUGUCCUUUUUUGGAGAAAUAUUGGAAAGGUAUUUUUGAUAUUAUUUCAACAGUUUUGCAUUUUGAUUAACAUCCUCAGUCUAUUACUGCAGUUUUUGGCUUACCAAUGGUGGAAAAUAGUUAUUUUUCCUCUUCAGUUCGUCAGAUAAUUGCAUUUGUUACAUUAAUGGCCAGAAGAUCUAUUUUAUUGAAUUGGAAAGAGAUUAAUCCUCCUGCUACAUUCCAAUAGUUUUCCCAACUAUAUAUUGUUUAAAUCUAAAAAAAAAUCAUAAGUGUCAUUUUUGACCCUUCAGUUAAAUUCGAAGGAACUUGGAGACUAUUUAUUCAACACUUUCAAAUGAUGUAAUUUGACCUUUUCCGAAUCCUUUUUAAUUAUCCUUACAUAUUUGGAUAGAGGAGUAGAGUUAUUGACAUUAUUGAUUGUAUCCGUUCUAAGAUAAUAGCCCAGCUUUAUUUUUUUUAGUUUAGUUUUCUUUUAUUUCUAAUUUGGGGGGUUUUUUUGGUAUGUUUUUUUCUAUCACGUUAAGUACAUCAAGAGUUUGGGAGGCUUAGUACAUUUGUGUUAUCUAUAGUUUAUACUUGUAUAAACUGUUUAUUAACUAUGUAUUCCCAAUCUCUCUGUAUUACUAUUAUUAUGCCUAUG